GACGUAGGGGGCCAGCGUUGUUCGGAAUUACUGGGUGUAAAGGGUUCGUAGGCGGUGCGGCAAGUCGGGAGUGAAAUCUCUGGGCUUAACCCAGAGGCUGCUUCCGAAACUGCUGUGCUUGAGUGUGGGAGAGGCGCGUGGAAUUGCAGGUGUAGCGGUGAAAUGCGUAGAUAUCUGCAGGAACACCCGUGGCGAAAGCGGCGCGCUGGACCACUACUGACGCUGAGGAGCGAAAGCUAGGGGAGCAAACAGG
rnacentral:rRNA from 1 species